rnacentral:lncRNA from 1 species
CGCUCGGCUCCAACCGGGACUCGCCCCCGAGGCGGAUGCGCCGGCCGGACCAGCGGAUUCGCGGGUCGGGGUCACGCUGGUCAGUCUGUGUCCCUGAUCUAACCCAGGGAUGCCUAGUGAUUCAACAGUAUACGUCCCAGAAGCGAAACUAACAAGAGCACGUGUGAGGAAAUGGACAUCCCAGAGAUUAGAUAAUUUGUCCUGGGCCCGUGACCGUUAGGAGGUAGAACGUGAAUUCACGUCCAGUCUGCUGGACCGUAAAGUUCAUCCCCUUAACUAUUCCACUACACUGAGGAAGCUCUCUUCAACUGUCGUAAGCGGAAUUUGCUGAUUGGUCAACAAAGUAGUCAACAAAAACUACAGCCCACAGGGGAAGCCCGUGGCGCGGCGGAAGAGAAAACAGAGGAUCCCAAAAUGAAGACACUUGCUCAAGUUCACACAGCUGUUAAGUGGAUGGCAAGGGGCCAGACUUCUAAGGUGCAGAGAUUGUCCCUGUAGAAUGGGAAGAAGACAUGAGUGGACAAAACGACUUAGGUAUUAUAGUCACAUUUCCUUCUAGGAGCUGGGCCUUCAUUUCCCAUCAGUGGUAUUUAUCAGCCUCAAAAGAACAAAUGCAAAAUGAACUUGGAGCCCCUGCUGACUGGCUUGGCUCUUGCUAUCACCUUGCCUCUCACUGACAGAUUCCAGCAGCUUAUGGCUGGAAUUUGUGAUGAGCAACUUCAGAAGGGCCAAAACAUCGGUUGCUGAGCCCACAGUGUUUGAAUUCUUUUGUCUGGAAAUGAGGCUGGGUCUUACACUAGUCUGGAUGUUUGAAGGCAACUGGCUGGUGUGACUAUGAAGAAGUCCCCUUUUCACUUUGUUUCUGUUUCCGUCUCUGUCUCAGGUGAUGGGGAAAUGAAUUAGGAGAAGAAAGGUUGUUCUGGAAAUUCCAAAUGAUGCAAUUCUAUCCAAUGCCACCAUUGAGCAUCCCACGCUGUGUUGGGGUGGCAUUCACUUUCACUUUCUCCUUUCCAUCCUUCACUAGACUUUUAUUCUAGUGAAUAAAAGAAUGUAUUAUCCUUAUAAUAACAACGAAGAACUAAUAUAAAAUGACCGGCAACAAAGUAACUCUAUUUUAAUCCUGACUUGAGCUUCCAACGUGGAAUGAAGAAUGAGUGCAAAAUGGCUCUGUAGGAUAAGGGGUGGAAGAAGCCACUUAACUAUAAGUAUUCUUACAUUUUUUCCCUGUAUGCGUCUGUAUACUCUGGCUAUUUUACUUAAAUGAAAGUAAAUCGAUCUAUCUUCAUAUUCACUCUAAUUCAACAAAACUUAGUUCUAUGCCUGUUUUUGGCUAACUAGCCAAAAAUCAGUAACUACUGGUUUGAUUCUCCAAACAAUAAGACACAGUGCCUGCCCUUACAAAAAUGACAAAUUAGUGGGCGAGAAAAGAAAGAAGUGCUGGUUUCCCUGACAUUCUCUGGAGGCAGAAAUAGAGUCUAACACAGAGAGAAUUGCAGGACUUCUGGGCACAUCCCUUCCCAGUACUGCCUCUCCGGCCCCCCUUGGCAUCCACCAUUCCCCUGCUCCUCUACAGAGGUGGGUUGCUGGUCAUCCCAGAUACUGGGUGCUGCGGAUGAUGAUGCCAUCUCCUGUUUCUGCUCUGGCAGGUCCAGCUCCAUGCUCACACCAUGGAGCCAUUUCUCAGCUCAGCCUUCCCUAACUUUCACAUCAAAAGGUGUGAUUACCCUAACCCUGUUACACUCUCACAUACGGAUCCCGGAGCAGAGUUGACUUCUGUUCUCCUAGUCACACAGGCAUUCAAAUUACAAAUGUAAAAAUUAAAAUUAUAUAAAACAUAAGCAAAGAAAACGAAUAAAAAUGCCCAUUCUUUAGAUUGCAGCUCCCCUCUCGUCAGAACUCCCACUAAGCUUUAAGUUAAGCUCUUGAGGUCCGGGAAUGAGUCUGUCUUUCUCACUCAUGUAUCCCCAGUGCUCAGGAUGGAGCCUGACCCAGGGUAGGCACUCACUAAAUGUUUGUUGAAUGCAAAUGGAUGACUACAUAACUCAGGAAUGCAUCCCUGAGAAUUUGGCCAAGGAAAGCUGAGUGGCAGACACCCCGCUGUACUCAAAAUUAUCCCUCCCUCGGACACUGGCUGACCUUGGCACAUGUUUGUGUGACUUGGCCCUCUUUUCCCUCAG